CAGGUCUUGACAUCGUAUGCAUAGCAUAGAGAUAUGUGAAAUCCCUUCGGGGACAUAUAGACAGGUGGUGCAUGGUUGUCGUCAGCUCGUGUCGUGAGAUGUUGGGUUAAGUCCCGCAACGAGCGCAACCCUUGCCAUUAGUUGCUACGCAAGAGCACUCUAAUGGGACUGCCGUUGACAAAACGGAGGAAGGUGGGGACGACGUCAAAUCAUCAUGCCCCUUAUGACCUGGGCUACACACGUACUACAAUGGCGUUUAACAGAGGGCAGCCAGCCGGCGACGGUGAGCGAAUCCCUAAAAAACGUCCCAGUUCAGAUUGCAGGCUGCAACCCGCCUGCAUGAAGUCGGAAUUGCUAGUAAUCGCGGAUCAGAAUGCCGCGGUGAAUACGUUCCC
rnacentral:rRNA from 1 species